AAACAACAGGAUCGCUUCCAGGUUACAGUAUUGAAAUUAGAAUCAACCACUAUUAUUACACAACAUCUCUUACCAAAUCAGAUCAUCUUCGAUAAGAAGAAUCACUGUCAACUAUUCCAGCUAUGACUUACACUUGAAUCCUUAUAGCACAGCUCUAGCUUGCAUCAACCUCAUCAACUUUCCUGAACACUCCUCGACCACUGGAUCCUCAACUCUGUCUCCUCGCCUAGCAUUAGCCUUAUUCACAAUCUCAAUCAAUCAUCUCAUCUUUAAGCCUUUCUGAAAUGGUUAGAAAGGAAUAGCAAGGGUGAGCAACAAUGCUCAGCAAGUAAUAAUAAACAAUGAUAGUUCUGAAAUGAUAUAACAGAAGUUCACGAGUUCAAGAUAUAAGAGGAUUCAACCUGAGUUCAUGAGUUCAUGGUAUUGUAUAGAAUGAUUUACAAUACCUUGCAGCAUUUAAACUGAGAAAUUCAAUCUUUCCAAAGAAUUAUUGAAUUGGACUAUCACAUUUUAAUUAAAACCAAGGUUAGGCAGCUGAUCAGUUCCGCACUAACCCCGAGCAGGCCCCGCCAUGCUCUAUCACUGGAUCCAAGGCACUCAUUGGCCUAACAUGACCACGAAUCUGGUCCACAGGUUUAUAUAAAAACAAUAAUCCAAUUCUCUAAUUCAAUUCAAGAAGCCAAUGUAAAUUAACAGAACAUCAUCAUAAAUAUCAUCAACAACAGAAUAAUUCCAAUUCAAACUUUGAUAAUAAUCUAUUCAUAAAUCAUGAUCCAUCAUUUCAUAAAUCACAGUUCAGGAAAUCCUCAACUAUUCAGUAUCCUCCAUUAUCGGCUAAGCAACUGAAUUUAGCCUGCUAAACCAGCAUGACAAUGGCGGGUUGAAUAAUCAAGAAGAUCCCAAUUCAUUCAAAGCUCUAACUAUCACUGAGCAACACAUGCUUCAAUGACAAUCUGAACUUCGAAUUAAUUUGUAAAACGGAAAUUCUUUAGAAACUUGAAGAUUAGAAAGAAUGGGUCAGAAUACUCGCACUUUCGAACAUUGAAAAGAAAGGUAUGAAUACUUGAAACAUAUACCAAAGGAAUGGAUCAGAAUAUUUGCAAUAUAUCCAAGAGAAAGGUUUAGGAUACUUGCCUUAAAUCUGACUCCAGUCUCACAUCUCAAUCUCAUCUUUCCACUUUCACAAUCUAUGCAUCUCAUAGUCUCUAGACCAUCUCUGGCUAUACUCUAUCUACCGUACAUCUUCGCUUCGCUUACUCGAUUCAUCCCUUAUUCGCUUUGUAACACCACGUGACUUUCUGAACGUCUUCGGGCAUACACGUCUCGUCCAAAUCCUUUACGAGAAUAAGAUAACACUAUAAUCACUAAACAAUCGAUCGCAUAUACAUCUCACGUAUAUCAAUACCCACUUAUAUAUCCCUUUAAACUUAUCAGAUACCACGUAACACAUAAGCAUGCUUUAACUCUAACAUAUAGUCAAUCAUAUUCCACAUAACAUAUCACCAAUCAAUUAUCAUAUAAAUCCUUAUCGAAAAUCCGACAUCGUCUCGUCUAUGUAUAAGACUAUCCACCUAUUAUCCUAUCUCAAUCAUUAAUCAACCAACAAAAUCCAAUAGCUAUAAUCCAUAUAUUCUUAUCCAAUAUCAAUCAUACGAAUCAUUUAUCACUUCACAAUAUCAAAACUAACACGUACUUCACAUAAUCAUCACCUGAUAGCACUUAGAUCACAUAUUAUCACAUUAUGCAUACUUAUCAACAAUUAUUCACCUUAUAGACUCAGCCAUAUAGUCACAUCAUAUUAAAAUAGACGUUAUAAGCUUCUGUCUCUCUUUCGUUUCACUUGAUUCCGACUUACGGAUCAAAAGUUAUGCUCAAAACAGUUUUCUCACUCUCCUAUCGGCACAUAACACAUCCAACCAAUAGCAGACAACACACAACACAUAAGGUUUCCCAUCCCAAUUGAUAUUAAAUCAAGUCUUGGGUUAAAAAUGAUUUUUCGGGAAUUUUCCAGAAUUUUUAAACAUUUUUCGGAAUUAAAAUCGAUAAAAGAAUCACUUUUCGAAUAAAUAAUCAAGUCCCAAAUACUUGAAAUUGGACUUGAAAUCAUUCAUAAACAAUUAUCGAGCCUUGAAAAUAAUUUGGAAAAAUAUUUUAAAGCUCGAAACUAUUUUUCGGAAUUUUUAAAUCAAAAAGGAUUAAUUAAAUCCAAUUAAUUAAUCAAUUAAAAUCAAUUAAUAAUUAAUUAAAAUAAUUAAUCAAUUAAUAUUUAAAUUAAUUGACCAAUUAAAAUAAUUAAUUACUAAUUAAAAUUAAUUAAUAAACUAAUUUAGAUUUAUUUUUGAAUAAAGAAAUAAUUAAAAACUAUUUUUGGAAUUUAAAAUAAUUAAAUAAAACAAUUUUAGAAAAUUAAAUCAAAAGGUUUAUUUUGUAAACUUUUGAAAGUUUUGUCCAGGGUUUAAAGUGCAACUUUUCAAAGUUACAGGGGGUAAUUCAUAAGUUUCAGAACCUGAGUACAAAAACUUCAUCAUCUUCAAAACUUCGGUGACCAAACAGCAAUAAGCCGCCGGCCACCACACUAACUCGCCGGAAAUUCAUUUCCAGGCGUCCUCCACUCACCAUCUACUCCAGAUCAGUAGUACACACACCCAUAAAUCAAUCCCCCAUCUUUAAUUAGGCAGAAGUCGCGCGAAUUCGCCGGAAAAUCCGGCCGAAGUCGGCGACUUCCCGCCGCCGAUGGCGGCGAUUCGAGCCACCUCCGCUCAAACCAAGCACACCAGCAUACUCCCCUUUCUCUCCUCUUUCUAUUCAUAUAUACCACUACUGCCCAGAUUUAGCGGAACCCAUUUUCCGGCCAAAAUUCAAACUUUUCCGGCAACAAGCUCAAGAACACCAAGAACACAAUUUCAAUAAUCAAACUGACUUUUCUACAUGUUAUUGAACUCCGUUUUUGACAUAUAAUAUACCAAAACGACGAGAAAAACAUGCUCUACAUCAUAGAAUCAUCAAAUCACAUAAACGGAAUCGUUUGCAAAAAUUCAUCAUUUAAAUCAUAUAAACUCGAAUUUUAGAAAAAUAAUCUAAAAUCACCUGUUGAAUCUGCAUAUAAACGGAUGAUUAAAC
rnacentral:lncRNA from 1 species